rnacentral:lncRNA from 1 species
AAGAAUCUUUCUUGAUCCCUCAACUAAUUAAGAAAAACAACAAUUAAAAAGUAGUUGUAACUAACUCCCAACAACUUGAGAGGAAGAAGAUGAAAUCAAACAAUAACUUGGUGCCAACCAAUUGACACCAAAACAAUGUUGCCGCCCACCUCUCUAAAAGCUCCAACAAGGGGAUGCCAAGAGAGAGAGAGGGCAUGGGCUGGAGAGAGGAAGG